GUCCCUAUAUGAAAGAUGAUCUUAGUUUAGUUGGUUUGAAAUAAAAAUAGGGUGAAGGUGAAUGACAUAUUUAUAAAGUUAAAGAAUAAAGUGAGGAUUUAAAAAGAUUAAAGAGAAAAUAAAAAUGGGCCAUAGAAAACAGUUGUUUAUUCCGUUAUUAUUUGAUUAGUAGUGUGUAUAAUAUGAGGGACCCACGUUGAGUAAGAUUCCAAUUUUGACUGGCGCAUGAACUCAAGGAAUCUUCAUAUCCCAAUCUUAUCCUUUUCCC
rnacentral:lncRNA from 1 species